GCAGUGGGGAAUAUUGGACAAUGGGCGCAAGCCUGAUCCAGCCAUACCGCGUGGGUGAAGAAGGCCUUCGGGUUGUAAAGCCCUUUUGUUGGGAAAGAAAUCCAGCUGGUUAAUACCCGGUUGGGAUGACGGUACCCAAAGAAUAAGCACCGGCUAACUUCGUGCCAGCAGCCGCGGUAAUACGAAGGGUGCAAGCGUUACUCGGAAUUACUGGGCGUAAAGCGUGCGUAGGUGGUCGUUUAAGUCCGUUGUGAAAGCCCUGGGCUCAACCUGGGAACUGCAGUGGAUACUGGGCGACUAGAAUGUGGUAGAGGGUAGCGGAAUUCCUGGUGUAGCAGUGAAAUGCGUAGAGAUCAGGAGGAACAUCCAUGGCGAAGGCAGCUACCUGGACCAACAUUGACACUGAGGCACGAAAGCGUGGGGAGCAAACAGGAUUAGAUACCCUGGUAGUCCACGCCCUAAACGAUGCGAACUGGAUGUUGGGUGCAAUUUGGCACGCAGUAUCGAAGCUAACGCGUUAAGUUCGCCGCCUGGGGAGUACGGUCGCAAGACUGAAACUCAAAGGAAUUGACGGGGGCCCGCACAAGCGGUGGAGUAUGUGGUUUAAUUCGAUGCAACGCGAAGAACCUUACCUGGCCUUGACAUGUCGAGAACUUUCCAGAGAUGGAUUGGUGCCUUCGGGAACUCGAACACAGGUGCUGCAUGGCUGUCG
rnacentral:rRNA from 1 species